AAGACUAAAUGGUUGGUUCUUGUGCAGGCACAGGCUAAAGAUAAUGAGAGAUUUCCAGAGACCCUGCCUUGUCUAUUACGCUUCAUACGCAACCGUCUGGUGCACAGCCGAGAAGAAAUGAAAGAAAUCAACGUGUUGAAGCUCUUCCCUGACCUAGUUGUCACAGCGUACAAGUGUGCUAAAGAGAAAGACUGGGAGGUUAGGGGUUUCCUGCCCCUGGUUUCUUCAGGAAAGAGAAAAGCUGAGGAGGAGGAUGACGCGCAGUGAACCAAGACGUGUAGAUGAGCCCUUGACAAGUGGUCGUGUUUGAUCAUUGUCAUAACACCUUUAAAUCAUCAAAAUCCAAGGCAGGCUCAAGGUGGCCCUGGAAAGUCAUCUACCCCUUGUCAUUAACCCCAUUCUAAGCCAACUCCAGCAGAGGCAGGUUCUUAAUGACCUGGAGCAGGAGGUGGUGAUGAUCAAACGCACCAGUGUGGAACGGAACUUUGUGCUCACCAUGUGUCAGUACUUGGACUCUGUCUUGUCUGAUUCUGUGUUUUGACAUGUCCUGUGUUUUUGUUGUGGUAGCAAUGCGCUACCAUGUGCUCCGCUCCUUCGCCUGUCUUUCUUCUGUUUCCCAUCUGUUCUGCUCAUCACCUGUUCCCAAGGAUUACCCUGCCUAUUUAAGCCCUGUCUUGCCUCAUGUUCCCUGUCAGAUUGUCUCAACUGGAGUGCUUGCCUUUUCCGUUGUCUGUGUUUUUUUUAAUUGUGCCUUUUUGAGUUUGUUUUUUAAUCUGUUUUUGCCUACCUGCUUGUCUGCCAGCCUGCUUGUUUUCUGGAAUAAAUCCUUUUUCUACCGA